rnacentral:rRNA from 1 species
AACGAACGCUGGCGGCAGGCUUAACACAUGCAAGUCGAGCGCCCCGCAAGGGGAGCGGCAGACGGGUGAGUAACGCGUGGGAAUCUACCCAUCUCUACGGAAUAACGCAUGGAAACUUGUGCUAAUACCGUAUACGUCCUUCGGGAGAAAGAUUUAUCGGAGAUGGAUGAGCCGGGGUGGGAUUAGCUAGUUGGUGGGGUAAAGGCCUACCAAGGCGACGAUCCAUAGCUGGUCUGAGAGGAUGAUCAGCCACACUGGGACUGAGACAAGGCCCAGACUCCUACGGGAGGCAGCAGUGGGGACGAUUGGACAAUGGGCGAAAGCCUAAUCCAGCCAUGCCGCAUGAGUGAUGAAAGCAAUAGGGUUGUAAAGCUCUUACACCGGUGAAGAUAAUGACGGUAACCGGAGAAGAAGCCCCGGCUAACUUCGUGCCAGCCGCCGCGGUAAUAC